rnacentral:rRNA from 1 species
UUAUUUGAUACAGGAUACAACCUCGCACAUAGGGUAAGUAAGGGCGAUUAAAGCAAAGUGGGCCUAAAAGCAGCCACCUUUAAGAAAGCGUUAAAGCUCUACCUCAUCUAACCCAUAAUUAUUUCACCCCCCUCCAACCCCUCACCUCUACUGAGCAAUUUUAUACUAUUAUAGAAAAUAUUAUGCUAGAACUAGUAACAAGAACCUGCCCUUCUCCUAAAUAUAAAAAUAAGCCAAAACGGACACCCCGUUGGCAAUUAACGUUAAUGAACUUGCUAUAACAACCCCGACCAGAAAAUCCUAUAUUAACUAACGUUGACCUUACACCAGAAUAUUAAAGGAAAGAUUUAAAGAAAGAGAAGGAACUCGGCAAAUUUUAGCCCCGCCUGUUUACCAAAAACAUCGCCUCUUGGUAUACAUAAGAGGUCCAGCCUGCCCAGUGACAAAAUUUAACGGCCGCGGUACCCUGACCGUGCAAAGGUAGCAUAAUCACUUGUUCUUUAAAUAAGGACUUGUAUCAACGGCAUCACGAGGGCUACACUGUCUCCUCUUUCUAAUCAGUGAAACUGAUCCCCCCGUGAAGAAGCUGGGAUUAACCU